AUACGGAGGGUGCAAGCGUUAUUCGGAAUCACUGGGCGUAAAGGACGCGUAGGCGGGUUGGCAAGUCAGAUGUGAAAUCCUACAGCUUAACUGUAGAACUGCAUUUGAAACUGCUAACCUAGAGUAUGGGAGGGGGAGAUGGAAUUAGUGGUGUAGGGGUAAAAUCCGUAGAUAUCACUAGGAAUACCGAAAGCGAAGGCGAUCUCCUGGAACAUAACUGACGCUAAGGCGUGAAAGCGUGGGGAGCAAGCAGGAUUAGAAACCCCAGUAGUCC
rnacentral:rRNA from 1 species